rnacentral:rRNA from 1 species
AGUUUGAUCAUGGCUCAGGAUUAACGCUGGCGGCAUGCCUAACACAUGCAAGUCGAAUGUUGCUCGCAAGAGUAAACAUGGCAGACGGCUGAGUAACGCGUGGGGACUUACCUCUUAGUCGGGCAUAACCCAUCGAAAGGUGGGAUAAUUCCUGAUGUUGUCGCAAGACCAAAGAUUUAUCGCUAAGAGAGAGACCUGCGUCUGAUUAGCUUGUUGGUGAGGUAACGGCUCACCAAGGCUCUGAUCAGUAGGGGACCUGAGAGGGUGACCCCCCAGACUGGGACUGAGACACGGCCCAGACUCCUACGGGAGGCAGCAGUGAGGGAUUUUCCACAAUGGACGAAAGUCUGAUGGAGCAAUGCCGCGUGAAGGAUGAAGGCUUUCGGGUUGUAAACUUUUUUUUUACGGAAAGAUUAUGACGGUACCGUAAGAAUAAGACGCUGCUAACUACGUGCCAGCAGCAGCGGUAAUACGUAGGCGUCGAGCGUUAUCCGGUUUUACUGGGCGUAAAGGGUCCGCAGGUGGAUUUUUAAGUCUGACGUUAAAGAUCUCGGCUCAACCGAGGGA